AAACUUCCAACAACGGAUCUCUUGGCUCUCGCAUCGAUGAAGAACGCAGCGAAAUGCGAUAAGUAGUGUGAAUUGCAGAACUUUGUGAACCAUCGAAUCUUUGAACGCAAAUUGCGCCUUCUUUCGGAAGGCAUGUCUGUUUGAGGGCACCAU
rnacentral:rRNA from 1 species